rnacentral:rRNA from 1 species
CAUAUCAAUAAGCGGAGGAAAAGAAACUAACAAGGAUUCCCCUAGUAACUGCGAGUGAAGCGGGAAAAGCUCAAAUUUAAAAUCUGGCAGUCUUUGGCUGUCCGAGUUGUAAUCUAGAGAAGCGACAUCCGCGCUGGACCGUGUACAAGUCUCCUGGAAUGGAGCGUCAUAGAGGGUGAGAAUCCCGUCUUUGACACGGACUGCCAGGGCUUUGUGAUGCGCUCUCAAAGAGUCGAGUUGUUUGGGAAUGCAGCUCAAAAUGGGUGGUAAAUUCCAUCUAAAGCUAAAUAUUGGCGAGAGACCGAUAGCGAACAAGUACCGUGAGGGAAAGAUGAAAAGAACUUUGGAAAGAGAGUUAAACAGUACGUGAAAUUGCUGAAAGGGAAACGCUUGAAGUCAGUCGCAUUGUCCAGGGAUCAACCUUGCUUUUGCUUGGUUUACUUUCUGGUUGAUGGGUCAGCAUCAAUUUUGACUAUUGGAAAAAGGUCAGGGGAAUGUGGCAUCCUUGGAUGUGUUAUAGCCCUUGGUUGUAUACAAUGGUUGGGAUUGAGGAACUCAGCACGCCGCAAGGCCGGGUUUUAAACCACGUACGUGCUUAGGAUGCUGGCAUAAUGGCUUUAAUCGACCCGUCUUGAAACACGGACCAAGGAGUCUAACAUACCUGCGAGUGUUUGGGUGGAAAACUCGAGCGCGUAAUGAAAGUGAAAGUUGAGAUCCCUGUCGUGGGGAGCAUCGACGCCCGGACCAGACCUUUUGUGACGGCUCCGCGGUAGAGCAUGUAUGUUGGGACCCGAAAGAUGGUGAACUAUGCCUGAAUAGGGUGAAGCCAGAGGAAACUCUGGUGGAGGCUCGUAGCGAUUCUGACGUGCAAAUCGAUCGUCAAAUUUGGGUAUAGGGGCGAAAGACUAAUCGAACCAUCUAGUAGCUGG